CCCUUAGAUGUCCGGGGCCGCACGCGCGCUACACUGAAGGAAUCAGCAUGGCUUUCUCCCUGACCCGAAAGGGUUGGGAAACCCGUUGAAUCUCCUUCGUGAUAGGGAUUGGGGCUUGAAAUUGUUCCCCAUGAACGAGGAAUUCCCAGUAAGCGCGAGUCAUAAGCUCGCGUUGAUUACGUCCCUGCCCUUUGUACACACCGCCCGUCGCUACUACCGAUUGAACGGUUUAGUGAGGGCCUCGGAUUGGUCUCGGCCCGCUCUUUACCGGGCGGCGCCGUUGGUCGAGAAGACGCUCGAACUUGAUCGUUUAGAGGAAGUAAAAGUCGUAACA
rnacentral:rRNA from 1 species